GAGGGAGGUAGGAGAAGACAGAAGAUGGAGAAAGGGGCCACAAGCCAAGGAAUUCAGGGAGCCUCUAGAUGCUGGAGAAAGUAAAGAGCAGGUUUGCCCUGCAGCCCUGCUGGCACUUUGAGUUUAGUCCAGUAAUACCUGUUUUGAAGUUCUGACCACCACAACUGUAGGAUAAUCAGUGGGUAUUGUAUAAGCCAGUAAAUUGGUAGUAAUCUGUGUCCCCAGGUAUGGGAAAUCAGCAUGGUUAACACAUGAGGGUGCUUGGACAGAACCUGGCUCCCUGAGUGCUGCUUGUCACCAUCAUUUUUUCUCUCCACCAGGUUCUAGGUUGGUUGCAGAGGAGGUGGCAGUGAAAGAAAAACACCCACAAAAAGCUCCUGCUGCCAUGGUGUUUACUAGCAAGUGGAGAGGAACGAUUGCAAAUUAUGGAGUAAAUACAUAAUAUAAAUGCUCUGAAGAGAAAUAAAGUAAAGGGGAUCAACCCUGCUGGGCUGCUGUUACAGAGGUCAUGGGCAGGAAAGGCCUUCUGAGGAGGUGGCAUGAGCAGAAGCCUGAAUGCCAGAGCGGGAGCUGGGGUCUUCUCUCCGAAGGCUAGUGGCUGGACCUGCAUGUGGAUGGCAAUUCAGGUCCAGUUUCUGAGAUCUUGGACACCAAAUGAUUUGGGGAACUGGAUAGGGAGAGAGUUGUCAGCACCGAUGCUGAGGCUGUGAGAGCCAUUUCUGAGUGGAGGUGAGGAAAAAGGGAGUGAAUGACCAUGAGGGUCGUUGCGUGGUGCCUCCAGACCACACCUGGGAAUGGUGACUUGGGAACUGGCUGACAUGUUUAUUUGGUGUGAGGUCAACUACAGCCCUGAGGGCAAUAACAUGAUCCUCAUAAAACAGACCCCCCAGGCUGGGCCUCAGCCUGCUUGCUGCCAAACAAGGGUGGUGACCUAAUAAAUGAGACA
rnacentral:lncRNA from 1 species